UACGGAGGGUGCAAGCGUUAUCCGGAUUCACUGGGUUUAAAGGGAGCGUAGGUGGGCUGGUAAGUCAGUGGUGAAAUCUCCGAGCUUAACUUGGAAACUGCCAUUGAUACUAUUAGUCUUGAAUAUUGUGGAGGUCAGCGGAAUAUGUCAUGUAGCGGUGAAAUGCUUAGAGAUGACAUAGAACACCAAUAGCGAAGGCAGCUCGCUGGGACGGUAUUGACGCUAAGGCGCGAAAGCGUGGGGAGCAAACAGGG
rnacentral:rRNA from 1 species